GACAGGGGGUGCAAACGUUGCUCGGAAUGACUGGGCGUAAAGCGCGUGUAGGCGGUCCCGCGAGUCGGGUGUGAAAGCCCGGGGCUCAACCCCGGAAGGGCACUCGAUACUACGGGGCUGGAGGCUUGUAGAGGAGAGCGGAAUUCCCGGUGUAGAGGUGAAAUUCGUAGAUAUCGGGAGGAACACCAGUGGCGAAGGCGGCUCUCUGGACAAGUACUGACGCUGAGACGCGAAAGCGUGGGUAGCAAACAGG
rnacentral:rRNA from 1 species